GAUUGUCUUUGUGUGUACGAGGCCUAACAGGGUCUUUUCUUCACCUCAAGUCUCUCUUUAUUUAAACGAUCUUGUCCUGCAGUCCUUUUGUUGGAGCCUGGGUGGUGCUUUGCUCUUCUCUCUCUCUCUCUCUCUCUCUCUCGCUCUCUCUCUCUUCCCUCUCUCUCUUCACAGUAAUCAGCACACCUUGGCCGCGCACCUAUCAUCAAUCAGCCCUCAUCAUCACCUGCAUAAAAGCCUGCCAGAUCCGGCAAACUCUCGCCAGAGUAUUGAAGUGUCUCCUGUGGUACAACGGCUCCCCAGUUACCAAUGUUCCCUCCGUGUUACUCGCCAAGUAGAUUUCUGCCGCCAAGCCAGCCGCCUAUCCUCGUCACCGCCUGUCACACGUUCUCUGCCUGAACAACCUGCCAACACAUCUCAAGGACCAUCUCCAUUCCCCUUUUCCAUGAACUUUUCAUCACAACCUCUCAGCCUCCAUCUGCUCUUGGGUCCAGUCUAAAUCCACUCGUGACAGAUCUUCUCUUUUGCUUAAUGGAGGACACCUAUACCUCACCUUGUUUAUUUACAACUUAAGAAAAACUCAAUUUAGAUGGUGCUGCCCCACCAUCGCAAACGUCAGCCUGUUCUGCCCACACGGUUCAUUGGAACUGCCCCGUUAUUACCCACAGCCCCCCGACAGGCCUGUCGGACUUUCAAUUGUGAAGGGCGAUUUUGAAAAAGACUCCACUGAUACAAGCUCGAUGAACAAAGACAACUUUAUUGGCCAACAAGCAAUAUACAGUGUCCGCCAACAACUGCAGCAGGUGGGAGAGUCCCAUUCAAUAUUGGGGGCUCCGAAAUCUGGAGGGACACCAUGCCGUCUUCUGACACCGUCAUGCGGUCAGCUCCUUCCUGACUCUGAAUAUGGCUGACUGAUUUGUCAUAAUAUUUGAAGCUCCUGAGGUUACGAUCAGUGUUUGAAAGUGUGUGUGACCUGUCGUCCCCCGCACCUUGAAUGAAUCUCCGAAAGUGGAUAUUCUCUAGCUGGAGCUGUCGGCC